GUUGUUUUACAUUGUCAUUUCGGGCCUUUUAUAGAUGACUAUGUGGUAUGGGCUUUGCUCAUUGUUGAAUGCCGUACGGUUACCUGUAGCUGUUAAUUUCUGUGUCAGUUUGAUCUCUUGUGGAGAGUUGUAUGAUUUGCAAUCAUACCACAUCUUCUUUUUUAUAGUAACAUCACAGCUGGAUUUUCCUUACAGAAGUACAUACAUUAUAUCACCCCAAC
rnacentral:lncRNA from 1 species